rnacentral:rRNA from 1 species
UACGAAGGGUGCGAGCGUUGUUCGGAUUUACUGGGCGUACAGGGAGCGUAGGCGGUUGGAUAAGCCCUCCGUGAAAUCUCCAGGCUUAACCUGGAAAGUGCAGAGGGGACUGUUCAGCUAGAGGAUGGGAGAGGAGCGCGGAAUUCCCGGUGUAGCGGUGAAAUGCGUAGAGAUCGGGAGGAAGGCCGGUGGCGAAGGCGGCGCUCUGGAACAUUUCUGACGCUGAGGCUCGAAAGCGUGGGGAGCAAACAGG